AACGAACGCUGGCGGCAGGCCUAACACAUGCAAGUCGAGCGAGACCUUCGGGUCUAGCGGCGGACGGGUUAGUAACGCGUGGGAACGUGCCCUUCUCUGCGGAAUAGCCACUGGAAACGGUGAGUAAUACCGCAUACGCCCUUCGGGGGAAAGAUUUAUCGGAGAAGGAUCGGCCCGACGUUAGAUUAGAUAGUUGGUGGGGUAAUGGCCUACCAAGUCUACGAUCUUUAGCUGGUUUUAGAGGAUGAUCAGCAACACUGGGACUGAGACACGGCCCAGACUCCUACGGGAGGCAGCAGUGGGGAAUCUUGGACAAUGGGCGCAAGCCUGAUCCAGCCAUGCCGCGUGAGUGAUGAAGGCCUUAGGGUCGUAAAGCUCUUUCGCCAGAGAUGAUAAUGACAGUAUCUGGUAAAGAAGUCCCGGCUAACUCCGUG
rnacentral:rRNA from 1 species